CACGUAGGCGGCCUGUUAAGUGUGGAGUGAAAUCCCACGGCUCACCCGUGGAACUGCUUCGCAUACUGGCAAGCUCGAGGACGGUAGGGGAGAGCGGAACUCUUGGUGGAGCGGUGAAAUGCGUAGAUAUCAAGAGGAACACCGAUGGCGAAGGCAGCUCUCUGUCCGUUUCUGACGCUGAGGUGCGAAAGCUAGGGUAGCAACG
rnacentral:rRNA from 1 species